GGGCUCACACAAGCGGUGGAGGAUGUGGCUUAAUUCGAGGCUACGCGAAGAACCUUAUCCUAGUCUUGACAUGUAUGGAUUAACCCUGUGAAAGCAGGGCCACGCCUUCGGGUGGAACAUACACAGGUGCUGCAUGGCUGUCGUCAGCUCGUGUCGUGAGAUGUCGCGUUAAGUCGCUUAACGAGCGAAACCCUUGUCUCUAGUUGCCAGCGCGUAAAGGCGGGGACUCUAGAGAGACCGCCGGCGUUAAGCCGGAGGAAGGUGGGGAUGACCGUCAAGUCCUCAUGGCCCUUAUGACUAGGGCUGCACACGUCCCUACAAUGCUACGGACAAAGGGCUGCAAGUUCGCGAGGAC
rnacentral:rRNA from 1 species